rnacentral:rRNA from 1 species
AGGGUUUGAUCCUGGCUCAGGACGAACGCUGGCGGCGUGCUUAACACAUGCAAGUCGAACGGUGAUGCAGGAGCUUGCUUCUGCGGAUCAGUGGCGAACGGGUGAGUAACACGUGAGCAGUCUGCCCUUGACUCUGGGAUAAGCGUUGGAAACGACGUCUAAUACCGGAUAUGACCCUCGGAGGCAUCUCCUGGGGGUGGAAAGAAUUUUGGUCAAGGAUGAGCUCGCGGCUUAUCAGCUUGUUGGUGAGGUAAUGGCUCACCAAGGCGACGACGGGUAGCCGGCCUGAGAGGGUGACCGGCCACACUGGGACUGAGACACGGCCCAGACUCCUACGGGAGGCAGCAGUGGGGAAUAUUGCACAAUGGGCGCAAGCCUGAUGCAGCAACGCCGCGUGAGGGACGACGGCCUUCGGGUUGUAAACCUCUUUUAGUAGGGAAGAAGCGAAAGUGACGGUACCUGCAGAAAAAGCACCGGCUAACUACGUGCCAGCAGCCGCGGUAAUACGUAGGGUGCAAGCGUUGUCCGGAAUUAUUGGGCGUAAAGAGCUCGUANGCGGUUUGUCGCGUCUGCUGUGAAACCCCGAGGCUCAACCUCGGGCCUGCAGUGGGUACGGGCAG